rnacentral:rRNA from 1 species
AACGAACGCUGGCGGCAGGCUUAACACAUGCAAGUCGAACGCCCCGCAAGGGGAGUGGCAGACGGGUGAGUAACACGUGGGAACCUUCCUCGUUGUACGGAACAACUCAGGGAAACUUGAGCUAAUACCGUAUACGUCCGAGAGGAGAAAGAUUUAUCGCAAUGAGACGGGCCCGCGUCGGAUUAGCUAGUUGGUGGGGUAACGGCCUACCAAGGCAACGAUCCGUAGCUGAUCUGAGAGGAUGAUCAGCCACACUGGGACUGAGACACGGCCCAGACUCCUACGGGAGGCAGCAGUGGGGAAUCUUGGACAAUGGGCGCAAGCCUGAUCCAGCCAUGCCGCGUGAGUGAAGAAGGCCUUCGGGUUGUAAAGCUCUUUUGUCAGGGACGAUAAUGACGGUACCUGAAGAAUAAGCCCCGGCAAACUUCGUGCCAGCAGCCGCGGUAACAC